rnacentral:rRNA from 1 species
CAGUCGCCGCGGUAAUACAGAGGGUGCAAGCGUUGUCCGGAAUUAUUGGGCGUAAAGGGCUCGUAGGCGGUUUGUUGCGUCGGGGGUGAAAACCCAGGGCUUAACUUUGGGCUUGCUUUCGAUACGGGCAGACUUGAGGCAUUGAGGGGAGAACGGAAUUCCUGGUGUAGCGGUGAAAUGCGCAGAUAUGUCUCAGAACACCAAUUGCGAAGGCAGCUUACUAAGGUAUGAUUGACGCUGAUGCACGAAAGCGUGGGGAUCAAACAGGAUUAGAUACCCGUGUAGUCCCUGUCUCUUAUAA